GCCAGACUCCUACGGGAGGCAGCAGUGGGGGAUAUUGCACAAUGGGGGGAACCCUGAUGCAGCGACGCCGCGUGGGUGAAGGAGCGUUUCGGCGCGUAAAGCCCUAUCGGCAGGGAAGAAGGAGGACGGUACCUGACUAAGAAGCCCCGGCUAACUACGUGCCAGCAGCCGCGGUAAUACGUAGGGGGCAAGCGUUAUCCGGAUUUACUGGGUGUAAAGGGGGCGCAGACGGCAGCGCAAGCCAGGAGUGAAAGCCCGGGGCCCAACCCCGGGACUGCUCUUGGAACUGCGCGGCUGGAGUGCAGGAGGGGCAGGCGGAAUUCCUGGUGUAGCGGUGAAAUGCGUAGAUAUUAGGAGGAACACCAGUGGCGAAGGCGGCUUACUGGACUGUAACUGACGUUGAGGCUCGAAAGCGUGGGGAGCAAACAGGAUUAGAUACCCCUGUA
rnacentral:rRNA from 1 species